GGGAUUGUAGCUCAGUAGUAGAGCGCUUGCCUAUCAUGUGUGAAACACUGAGUUCAAUCCUCAGCACCA
rnacentral:tRNA from 1 species